GGAGCGCGCGGAGAGCGAGGGAGGAGGGAGCGAGGGAGCGAGCGGCGGAGGGAGGGGAGAACAACUUCUAGUGCUACCAUAAUUCGCCUAAAGCAGGUGCAGCGACUUUCACCCGGCGAGACAGCCAGCGAGAGCGAGAGAAGACCACGUGGACCAAACUUUAGGGGAGGAAAAAUGGGGUCGUGGGGAGAAGACGUGGGGCUACGGAUCUGAAAACGGGGGUAGGUGGAGAGACCUGAGGGAUUCCGCCUGGCCUCGGACUAAUCCUGUGGCGCGCUUUGCAAAUCCUGGCCUUACCCUGGAGUCUGGAGCAGGUAAAUGAUGGAGCCAGAUUGUAUCCUGAGCCAUGUCAGUGAGGACAAGGAAGAAGCUCAUGGACGUCUUUAAAGUGGCAUUGCCUGCUUGUGGGUUACCUGAGGACAAGGAUGUUUUGGGAGGAAGUCCUUGGUUGUAUGCUCCGAUUUAUUUUGUGUGGAGAUCCAGCUCUGGUGGAAGUCAUGAAGUGCAGACAGCCCUAGGCCAAGCCUGGAAUGGCAGGUCCUUAUGUCAGGUCAGCCGGGCCAGCGACCAUGCGCUCAGCCCUCCCUCCCAGCCUCCCUGCUGUAAAGGCUGAGAGCAGGAUGCAAACUCGGGACCUUGGACACAAAAGAGGGGAUUUCUGCAGGGGACUUGGAAGGAGGUGACCUCCAAUGGGCCUCUCCAGCCCUUUUCUGAUUGGUUCUUGUUCCCACUGCUCCUGUCCCCAUCAUCUCCCUGCAGCAGCCCUCCAUGCCUCACACAUGGGCUCACGUGCCCAAAGGGAUUGCCCUGGGAAGUGCUUUUGCUUUCAUUUUAGUUUAUCCCUCAUCUCUGGGCCAGCUGUGUUCCCAGCACCCUGUGGGACACAGUGGCGGGCCCAAGGGGUCAAAAGACUCAGUCUUGUCCUUCACCUGUUAGUGAAGAAAACAAAACUUCCCCAAAGAAAGAUACAGAAAAAAUGCCCCCAAAUCAAAGAAGACAGUCCAAAGCCCUUCUUCCUGAUGCAAGAACUUUGUAAAAAGGUUCAAAAGAGUAACCCUUGCCUCCCAAGGGGGAGUAACUGGGAGCAGGCAGGAGGGUCCCUUUUCUGUCCUUGUUCCUUCACAGGAUUCAGGGCAGGCACAGGAACUUGGUGGUGGCAGGAACCGAGGCUCGUGGUCUGAUCCUACUAAGGAGACCAUGGUUAAGAGCACAGGGGCUGGAGUCAGGCUGCCUUGGGUUGAACCUCAGCUUCUGUCACCAGUGUGUGACCUGGGCAAGCUACAAGAUGUCUGAGCCUCAGUUUCCUCACCCACAAAAUUGGGAGAAUGCCUCCUGGGGUGGUUGGAAGGGUAGCAUGAGAAAGGAUGGGCAAAGCACCUAGCCUGCUUUUUGAGUGCUUUCCAUAAAUGCUUAUUUUCCCUUUUGUGAGCCCCAGUCUCCUCACUUAAAAAUGAAUACUAACCUCACAACGCUGCAAAUCAUGAGUUACCACGUAUUAAAUGUCUGCUGUGUGCUGGGCCCUUGAGUAAUGUGCUGUUCAGCUUUAUUGCCCCAGCUCUGGUGGCUCUUCUCCCCAUUUUACAGGUGGGCCUCAGCAAGGUCCGCUAACUUACCUAGGUCAAAAGCGAAGAGGUGGGGCGACAGGGACUUGCUCCCAGGUUUUCCUGUGCUGAAGCAGAUGCCCUUUCCCAGGGUCAGCUGGCUCUCUGUUUUAGGCAUAAGUGGGCUAAUGGGUGAGCUUGUUCCUUCCUAGUAGCAGGCCUGACACCCAAGGUGGUGGUAUGUGCCUCUAGAAACAUUAGUCUCUUUAUUCCCACAGUCCCAACAUACCUAAGCUCAGAUAUUUUCUAUUUCCAUUCAUCUGGUUGUUUGAAUCUUACUUUUUUUUUUCCAAAAACUUUCUUUUUGUUAUGAAAGAAUAAAUCUAUAUCAGUAUAAUAUAGCUACUCCACUCCUAAGUAUAUACCAACAGAAAUGCGUGCAUAUAUAUGUUCACCAAAAGGCACACACUAGAAUGCAAUGCCGUCUAUUUGGAUGUGCUGACUGUUCAUGUAGCUGUCAGCAGUGGAAUAGGUAAGUAAAUCAGGGCCUUCUCAUAUGUGGGCUAAUACUUGGCGAUGAGAAGGAAUAAGCCUUUGCCACACACAGCCUAGAGGAAUCUCACAGUGUUGAACAUAAAAGCCAGACACAAAAGAAAACACAGAGUAUGAUUGCAUUGAUCUGAAAUUCAAAGACUGAUCAAAUUAAUUGAUGGUGUUAGAACUCAGAAAAAUGACUACUCUAGGUGAAGGAGUGGCUGGGAGGGGGACGGGGUGGUUUCUGGGGGUCUGGAAAUGUUCUGUCUUUUGAAUUUGGAAGUUGGGUACAUGGGUAUGUUCACUUUGUGAACAUUAAUUGAGCUGUAAGUACACUUAUGAUUUCUGCACCUUUCUUUAUGCUUAAAAACAAAAAAUUUAAAAAAUCAUUGCUGAUAUAGCUGAGGUCCUUUUCAUAUCUAUCCCUCUCUCUCUUUUUCCCUCCUUCCCUUGCCUUAGGUAACCAGUUUACUGAAAUUGAUCUUCCCAGGCUGCUGGAGAGCAUUCCACCAGAUUCCAUGUGUCCCCAUUUUGUUCCCCAGCCUUCUGUUGAUGGACAGUUAGAAUACGGCCGAUGUCUGGCUACUGUGGUCUCCUUGCUACAGUGAGCUUCCUUCUGUGAACCCGCCCCCCCACAAACACACUUAGCUUUCCCUUCCCCCUGUAGAAUCUUCUGCCCUCCCAAUCUCCCACCUGCUUCUCCCCACCCUGCUUCCCAAUCUUGCUGACUCAGAAAGACCCUGGGUCUGUGCUGAAUGGAGGUGAAGGAGGGACAGGAGGUGGACAGCCUUUUCCUCUUCCACAGAGGUCCCUGUUCCCCAAGAUAAAUCAUGAUUUAAAUAAAGAAAUAUUUUAUAA